AUGCGCCCACCAGCAGCCACGCUUGGGGCUGGGGGCUUUGAGGACGCGCACGCUGCCUUAAAUAUAAUGGAGAUCCUUAUGGAUUAAGACUCUAUACCAGCUUUCUCUUUAGGACACCAGGGGAAAGUGAAAAAAGAACCACAUUUGAAUUUUGCUUUGUCACUACAAGUGGGUGACCAUGAGCAAGUUACUAACCUUAGUGAACCUGUUCCUAACCUAAAAAGGAGGAAAAUGGAGAGCAGGUAAUAAUACCUUAUGAGAUGGUUGUGAGAGUUAUAUAGCAUUCUUUAUGUCAUAGUCCUAGCAAAGUGCUGGCAUGGAAUAGGUGCUCCCUAAAUGUUAAUUACCUACCUUCCUUUCCCUUUCUGUCAGAUUUUCUCUACUAUCAUGGAAUAAUAAACAGUUUUCGUAAUUAAA
rnacentral:antisense_RNA from 1 species